GGCUGGAUUAUGGGCCCAGCAUUCUGACAUGAGCUUCAAAACUGCUCGUAGACACUGAAAAGUAAAGAGAGUGUGGUGAGCACAUGAAGAUCUUUGACGACACUUACCAACCACUUCAGGGGACGGAGCUCUGCUUACUUCAUCACUGUUCCAUCGAUUGGACACAAUUGGCCGCAAACGUUUGACACACACAACCUCACGCAUAUCUUCGUAUGAUGGAUCAUUGGGUACCAUAUUGUAAUAAGGCAACUGGUACUCUUCUACUAUCCCUGUAGGGAGGUGAGAAAACACAGUGGGCACAAAAAAUGUCAACCUACUCAGCACCUCUUACUCAACUAUGGGAGUUAAAACAGAUUCCUACACAAAGAAGAAAAGAAUUAGAGUAACGGAUUCACUUUUAACAGUAAAUGUAUGUUCUUCUCUUUUUCAUGCCUAAUUAUUUUCUCUACCUCCAUUCGGGUAGGGUUCUAUGAAACUUAUGGACUUAGCUAUGUAUAUCCCUUAAAAAAAGUAAGGUGAAAUGCUCAUUUAUCUUUUUAGUCUAAUUAUUUACAUACAUAUUUGUUCUUAUUAAUGAAUGCAGUUUUUAUUUUUUGUUCUACAGCAGAAAGACAACAUGAUUUGUGGGGAAUAGUGAACAUGGCAGGCCUGAGACUGCUGCCCUGAAAAGGCCUGCGUAGAGGGCUGAAGCUGGGCCAGUGUCUGGGAACUUGCCAGGGAUUAGUGUCCUCACUGCCUCAUUGGCAACUACUGAUACAUGAGUGGAGCUUACUGAUUACAGACUUCACUGUGAGAUAACUGCCUGGGCCAUGUCACUGGGCCCAUGGAGGGCUGACCUGUGUGAUCAACACAAUGUGGCAGAAGUGAUGGUGUAACUUUGGAGUCUAGAUCGUAAACAGCAUUGCAGCUUCCACCUUGAUCUCUUGAAUCACUCACCCUAGGAGGAAGAAGCCAGUCUUCAUGCUGCAAGGAUACUCAUACAGCUCUGUUAUGAGGCUCACAUCAGAGAAACUAAGCUCCCCUGUCAACCUGUGAGCAUCAGAAGUGAGCUACCUUGGAAAGUGAUCUACCAGCUCUAGUCAAGCCUUUAGGUGAGCACAGCUCCUGCUGACAUCUGACUGGACCUUAUCAAAGAUUCUGACGUGCAGUCAGUCACUCCUGAAUUUCUGACCCACAGUGAGAGAUAAUAAUUGCUGUUUUAAGCCACUAUGUUUGGGAGUGAUUUCCUAAUGCAGUAUUGCAUAACACAGCAUCUGACUUUCUAAAAAUAGACUUUCAAGCAAUCCUCUUGGUUUUACUGCCACUCUCAGCUUUACUCCCAGAGGUAACUGGUGCUGCCAAUUUUCGAGCUUCUUGGGGAAUUCUAUAGUAUAAACUGGUUGCACCUUUACUUUCUCAAAUUCUAGCCUAGGAGUCUGAUUUUGUAGGUCCGCAAAGUCACUUACUACUCAUCCAAAAGUUUCCCAAGUUCCAAAAGUUUUGUUGUUGUUGUUGUUGUUGUUUUUUGCUGUUAUCUGGUAUCCCGUUCUCCUUGUCCUAGCUGGACAAAGAAGGUAAAAACUAUUGCUUUUUCACCGGAGGCAGCAAAAGGGAGAUGCUCAAUCUGUCUCUUUAUCUAAGAAUUUCUACCAGUAUUACAGGUGGAAAACAGUAUCUCAGUAUGAUUUUAAUUUCUAUUUUUCAUAUUGUGAAUAUUCUUGAGUCAUCUUUUUAUUUUUCUUUUCAGAGCUGUAAGUAUUUCCUUUUAGAUAAAUGUGAGUUCAGUUUGGGGGGAAUGUUUUCCCAUUGAACUGCUAAGUUUUUUGUUUUUGAUUUAUAAAAGCUCUCUAUAUUUGAGAAAUCAGCUCUUUGUAAUAUGAGAUACCAAUAUUUUUCACUCUUUGUCUUCUGUUUAUGGUGGUUUCUGCCACAUAGUAAAGUUUUAUUUUUA